rnacentral:rRNA from 1 species
AGUGAACGCUGGCGGUAGGCCUAACACAUGCAAGUCGAACGGCAGCACAGUAAGAUCUUGCUCUUACGGGUAGCGAGUGGCGGACGGGUGAGGAAUACAUCGGAAUCUACUUUUUCGGGGGGGAUAACGGAGGGAAACUUACGCUAAUACCGCAUACGACCUACGGGUGAAAGCAGUGGAUCUUCGCACCUUGCGCGAUUGAAUGAGCCGAUGUCGGAUUAGCUAGUUGGCGGGGUAAAGGCCCACCAAGGCGACGAUCCGUAGCUGGUCUGAGAGGAUGAUCAGCCACACUGGAACUGAGACACGGUCCAGACUCCUACGGGAGGCAGCAGUGGGGAAUAUUGGACAAUGGGCGCAAGCCUGAUCCAGCCAUACCGCGUGGGUGAAGAAGGCCUUCGGGUUGUAAAGCCCUUUUGUUGGGAAAGAAAAGCAGCAGGUUAAUACCCCGCUGUUCUGACGGUACCCAAAGAAUAAGCACCGGCUAACUUCGUG